rnacentral:rRNA from 1 species
GAUGAACGCUAGCUACAGGCUUAACACAUGCAAGUCGAGGGGCAGCACGGUGUAGCAAUACACGGGUGGCGACCGGCGCACGGGUGCGUAACGCGUAUCCAACUUUCCCGUUACUCUCGGAUAGCCUUCCGAAAGGGAGAUUAAUACGAGAUGGUGUUCAGUUUCCGCAUGUUUGCUGAACUAAAGAUUCAUCGGUAACGGAUAGGGAUGCGUGACAUUAGAUAGUUGGCGGGGUAACGGCCCACCAAGUCAACGAUGUCUAGGGGUUCUGAGAGGAAGGUCCCCCACACUGGAACUGAGACACGGUCCAG